rnacentral:rRNA from 1 species
CAGUCGCGUCUGCUGGGACUCAGCCUUGCUUCUGCUUGGUGCACUUCUCAGUAGAUGGGCCAGCAUCAAUUUUGGGCGCCGGAAAAGGAUGAGGGGAAUGUGGCAGCUUGCUGUGUUAUAGCCUCUUGUUGUACACGGUGCCUGGGAUUGAGGACUGCAGCACGCCUUUGGGUAGGGUUCCCCCACUCCACGUGCUUAGGAUGCUGGCGUAAUGGCUUUAAACGCCCGUCUUGAAACACGGAUC